rnacentral:rRNA from 1 species
GACAAGGGCCCAGGCCUUACGGGGCGCAGCAGUCGCGAAAACUUUGCAAUACACGAAAGUGUGACAGGGCUAUCCCGAGUGCCAUCCGCUGAGGAAGGCUUUUACCCAGUCUAGAACGCUGGGGGAAUAAGGAGAGGGCAAGUCUGGUGUCAGCCGCCGCGGUAAUACCAGCUCUCCGAGUGGUGUGGAUGUUUAUUGGGCCUAAAGCAUCCGUAGCUGGCUAAGUUAGUCCCCUGUUAAAUCCAACGAAUUAAUCGUUGGAUCGCGGGGGAUACUGCUUGGCUAGGGGACGAGAGAGGCAGACGGUAUUUCCGGGGUAGGGGUGAAAUCCUAUAAUCCCGGGAAGACCACCAGUGGCGAAGGCUGUCUGCUAGAACGCGCCCGACGGUGAGGGAUGAAAGCUGGGGGAGCGAACCGGAUUAGAUACCCGGGUAGUCCCAGCUGUAAACGAUGCAGGCUAGGUGUUUGGACGGCCACGUGCCGUUCUAGUGCCGCAGGGAAGCUGUUAAGCCUGCCGCCUGGGGAGUACGAUCGCAAGAUUGAAACUUAAAGGAAUUGGCGGGGGAGCACCACAAGGGGUGAAGCUUGCGGUUUAAUUGGAGUCAACGCCGGG